CUAGCNNUGCCGCGUGUGUGAUGAAGGCCUUAGGGUCGUAAAGCACUUUCGCCAGAGAUGAUAAUGACAGUAUCUGGUAAAGAAACCCCGGCUAACUCCGUGCCAGCAGCCGCGGUAAUACGGAGGGGGUUAGCGUUGUUCGGAAUUACUGGGCGUAAAGCGUACGUAGGCGGAUCAGAAAGUAGGGGGUGAAAUCCCAGGGCUCAACCCUGGAACUGCCUCCUAAACUCCUGGUCUUGAGUUCGAGAGAGGUGAGUGGAAUUCCAAGUGUAGAGGUGAAAUUCGUAGAUAUUUGGAGGAACACCAGUGGCGAAGGCGGCUCACUGGCUCGAUACUGACGCUGAGGUACGAAAGUGUGGGGAGCAAACAGGAUUAGAUACCCUGGUAG
rnacentral:rRNA from 1 species